AGAGCUUGUCUCGGGUGACGAGUGGCGGACGGGUGAGUAAUGUCUGGGAAACUGCCUGAUGGAGGGGGAUAACUACUGGAAACGGUAGCUAAUACCGCAUAACGUCGCAAGACCAAAGAGGGGGACCUUCGGGCCUCUUGCCAUCAGAUGUGCCCAGAUGGGAUUAGCUAGUAGGUGGGGUAACGGCUCACCUAGGCGACGAUCCCUAGCUGGWCUGAGAGGAUGACCAGCCACACUGGAACUGAGACACGGYCCAGACUCCUACGGGAGGCAGCRGUGGGGAAUAUUGCACAAUGGGCGCAAGCYUGAUGSAGCCWUGCCGYGUGUAURAAGAAGGCCUUCGGGUUGUAA
rnacentral:rRNA from 1 species